rnacentral:rRNA from 1 species
CCUACGGGAGGCAGCAGUAGGGAAUAUUGCUCAAUGGGGGAAACCCUGAAGCAGCAACGCCGCGUGGAGGAUGAAGGUUUUCGGAUUGUAAACUCCUUUUGUUAGAGAAGAUAAUGACGGUAUCUAACGAAUAAGCACCGGCUAACUCCGUGCCAGCAGCCGCGGUAAUACGGAGGGUGCAAGCGUUACUCGGAAUCACUGGGCGUAAAGGGCGCGUAGGCGGGAUAGCAAGUCAGAUGUGAAAUCCUAUGGCUUAACCAUAGAACUGCAUUUGAAACUGUUAUUCUAGAGUAUGGGAGAGGUAGGUGGAAUUCUUGGUGUAGGGGUAAAAUCCGUAGAUAUCAAGAGGAAUACUCAUUGCGAAGGCGACCUGCUAGAACAUACCUGACGCUGAUGCGCGAAAGCGUGGGGAGCAAACAGGAUUAGAUACCCCAGUAGUC